AGAGUUUGAUCAUGGCUCAGAGCGAACGCUGGCGGCAGGCCUAACACAUGCAAGUCGAACGAACUCUUCGGAGUUAGUGGCGGACGGGUGAGUAACACGUGGGAACGUGCCUUUAGGUUCGGAAUAACUCAGGGAAACUUGUGCUAAUACCGAAUGUGCCCUUCGGGGGAAAGAUUUAUCGCCUUUAGAGCGGCCCGCGUCUGAUUAGCUAGUUGGUGAGGUAAAGGCUCACCAAGGCGACGAUCAGUAGCUGGUCUGAGAGGAUGAUCAGCCACAUUGGGACUGAGACACGGCCCAAACUCCUACGGGAGGCAGCAGUGGGGAAUCUUGCGCAAUGGGCGAAAGCCUGACGCAGCCAUGCCGCGUGAAUGAUGAAGGUCUUAGGAUUGUAAAAUUCUUUCAGUAGGGACGAUAAUGACGGUACCUACAGAAGAAGCCCCGGCUAACUUCGUGCCAGCAGCCGCGGUAAUAC
rnacentral:rRNA from 1 species